UUUGUGCAAGAAGUUUCUUGAUAACUCUAGUGCAUAAAUUUUUCUGAGGUGGCAUUAUGGUGAAAUAUUCAAUGAGUUCCUCAACAAACAACGUCUGGUCUCUUUUACUAUGAAACCUGAAUUCCAACAUAACUUUUAGUACUAGAAAAGGAAUUUGAUUUUCUAGCAAAAGAAAGUCCCUCCACACAAUGUAGCGACUCUUAUCCAGACGUUGAUCUACUUCAUUUUGUCCAUCAUCUUUUAAGAGAGUGGACAAAAAAUGAAGCACAAAGCAAGCACCUUUUACCCACAUUUUCCACCUCUUCAUAUAUUUGUUUGAUGGUACUUUAUUUUUAUAGGCACGAAGGAAUUUCAGCGCGAUUGGAAUUUUUAGCUUCUCGAAUGCUUUGAGCUCUAGCUUUCCAUGAUGAUAAGGACCUAUCAAAACUAUGAGAGGAUCAUAACAAUCUUUGUUUGAUUCAAUCACACACAUUAGUGAUGUUGGGCUUUUUGAUACCCAAUAGAUCUCGGGUUAUGAUAUUAACAUGGGUUAACAUAUUUCAUAGGCAUAGGUCGAUGAAUAAAAUAACUCCAAUAACCAAGUUCAUGAGCUCCACCCGGGUCAAUUGUAUUUCCUCUUGGAUGGCUUGAAUCUUGGCCCGUUUAAGCCCCUUAUAGGUCCAACUUAAAGCUUAACCCUAGACUAUAUAUAAGGUUAUAACCCUAGCCACUUUCUUGUGUGAUUUUGUGAGAAAAUAGUGGAACUUUAGCUGUCCCUUGGUGUGUGGAGAAAUAGCACCUUUGAAGUGCCAAAAUUGGUUGAUUACUUUGUUCAACUGGUGGCUCCUUCAUAUCUUAACUUUGUGGUGUUUUCUCCUUACCUUUCUACCCACAAAUCAU
rnacentral:lncRNA from 1 species